CUGUGACACCCAUGGUGCACUGUUAUUAGUAUGAAUUCCAUUUAAUUCACUGUUCUGUCAUAUUGCUGCCGCAAGUGUUUCUAUGAAGAUGGCAAACAGUGAAGGAGAGAGUGGGCAUGCAGGCCGUCUUCCCCAUCAGAGUGUGAAUGCAGGUGAUGUGAUCCCAUCUGUGACACUGUAGCUUUGGCUGAGCUGUACAGUAUUUUAACCCAGUGGGUGAACGACUCUCCGAAGCCAAAUCUAUGCAGUGUAUUAAAGAGGAAUGUCCACCUGACUGUCAGAUGCCGUUUCUGCAUCUAAUGAUGUAAUCAUGGUUGUAGUGUGGGUAUGCUGAGCAGUACUGACUAAAUUAAAUAAUCUAUGGAUGUUGUCCGAGGCAUGUCUUGUCUUGAUGAAGUUUGUCUGAUCAAGAUGGAUUAUAAUGACGAGUGUCAAGAGCAUUUGUAAUGAUUUUCAAGUCUGUAUUCGUUAGUGAGAGUGGCGGGUAACUGGAGGGUUGUGUUUGGUCUUUAUCAGGUCUCAAUAACACUGUAAUGGCUAGUAACUGGAGAGUUGUGUUUGGUCUUUAUCAGGUCUCAAUAACACUGUAAUGGCCGGUAACUGGAGGGUUGUGUUGGGUCUUUAUCAGGUCUCAAUGACACUGUAAUGGCUAGUAACUGGAGGGUUGUGUUUGGUCUUUAUCAGGUCUCAGUAACACUGUAAUGGCUGGUAACUGGAGAGUUGUGUUUGGUCUUUAUCAGGUCUCAAUAACACUGUAGUGGCUGGUAACUGGAGGGUUGUGUUUGGUCUUUAUCAGGUCUCAGUGACACUGUAAUGGCCGGUAACUGGAGGGUUGUGUUGGGUCUUUAUCAGGUCUCAGUAACACUGUAAUGGCUGGUAACUGGAGAGUUGUGUUUGGUCUUUAUCAGGUCUCAAUAACACUGUAGUGGCUGGUAACUGGAGGGUUGUGUUUGGUCUUUAUCAGGUCUCAAUAACACUGUAGUGGCUGGUAACUGGAGGGUUGUGUUUGGUCUUUAUCAGGUCUCAGUGACACUGUAAUGGCUGGUAACUGGAGAGUUGUGUUUGGUCUUUAUCAGGUCUCAAUAACACUGUAAUGGCUGGUAACUGGAGGGUUGUGUUUGGUCUUUAUCAGGUCUCAGUGACACUGUAAUGGCCGGUAACUGGAGGGUUGUGUUUGGUCUUUAUCAGUUCUCAAUAACACUGUAGUGGCUGGUAACUGGAG